rnacentral:lncRNA from 1 species
UCCAACAUAUGUAACAAACAUAAUAAUGAUAAUUUAAACUUUGAAGCUAAUUAAAGUUGAGUAAACUGAUUACUUUAUAUUGAAGACAAGUGAGUGACGUGAAUGCCAUGUUCUCAAAGUUUGAUGCCCCACAUAGCAUUUAAUCCAUAUACACAAGAUACCUAAGUAAUCCCAACAAAUCAAUCGCCAUCUGGGUUUUAUUUUUAUGUCCCAUGAAAACUCCAUUAUUACAUCACGGUCCAAUACCUUAAACUCAGACACGGUAAAAAUAUAUAUAUCAUAAAUUACUAAUUACAUAAUCUUGCAUGCUGAGGGGUUUUCUUCAAUAUAAUAAACAGACCUUCUCAGGUGGCAACCCCUCCCACAGCCACACCCAUAGCCAUAACCAUAAUAACCGACGUAACACGGCAGCAGAACCGGGUAGCCAACAGAACAUGGUCCACAGCAAGUCUUUGGCGGGGUCGGGGGCGGCUUCGGGGGCGGGGGCGGUAUUAUUACAAUACACUGGAUAACUUUUCCACC